UUAUUGGGGUAGCCCCCAUAAUAUUCGGACAUAUAAAAAAAGACAACUCUGUUCCGGAGAGUAGCUGUUGACAUUAUAGUUGCACAGGCACUUUUUUGACUCUAGAGAACCUUGGGCCAAUCGCACAUCCCCGUGACGGCGACUUUGCAUUCAAUGUCAUCCAUAUCAACUUUCGAUGCCAGUUUCUGCACCUACCAUGGUGACCAUGGGUAACGGGGAAUCAGGGUUACAUUCCGUACAGGGACCCUGAGAAACGGCUACCACACGCAAGGAAGGCAGCAGGCACGCAAAUGACCCACUCCCGACGAGGUAAGGUAGUGACGA